GACCAGGCCUGGCAGAGGCCGAAAGCCGGGCAGCCGCCGAGAGCCUGGCCGGCUGGCACUCAAAUGGGGGACACGUGGUGGCUUCAAUGGACAAAUGGAACGGUCCCCAAGAAGGACUCACCAUUGGCAGCAUAAUGGGGAGCUAGCUGAAGGGGGUGCUGAGCCCAAGGAUCCACCCCUUCCUGGGCCCCAUCCUGAGGACCUUAAGGUGUCCCCGGGGAUAGUCAGAAAGUCUCGUCGUGGCCGGAGGAGAAAAUACAAAAAGUCUCUCACCCAGCCUUGGGAAAUUCACCUGGUGCUUGGGAGCUGUUCCUGAUCAUCUGUGCCCUUAUUGCAGCCCUGCCCGGAACAGCAGCAGCAGCUCCCGCCAGGACGUUACCUUGGAGCCCAGCCCUACAACCCGAGCGGCUGUCCCUCUGCCUCCCCGGGCCCGCCCUGGACGUCCUGCCAAAAAUAAGAGGAGGAAACUGGCCCCAUAGCAGCCAAACCUGGAGCUGGAAUCUGACCCUGACUGGGGAGAGCUGAGUGCUGAGCCUUGGGAGCCCCUGCCAGCCACGUGCACCUGUGGACAGUGGGUGGGGGCACUAAUCCCCACUCAGAGCACAAACGCAACCCCUUCCCCUACAAAUCCUAUCCUGAGCCAUUGCAGGGGGUAGGGAAGCUCACCCCCUCCCCCCCAAAGCCAUGUCACUGAAGAGGCCUGGGGGGGUGGUAUAUGGCCCUCUCCCCAUCAGGCGCUAAGGGGAACACCCCUUCCCCAGGUCUUUUAUUUGUUUAAGUUAUUUUUGCACAAAUGACUCUUUUAUAUUUAAUUCGACUUUUCAUUGCCUCCCUUCUUAAAGCCAGCAGGCUCAGUUUACAAACCUGUGAGCUACUGUUGGCUGCUGCCCUCCUCCUCCCCAGUGAAAGGUACAGAGCAAUAAGCAUCAUGCACCUCCCCGCACCCCACUGCAUCCCUCUGCCUCUGGCUCAGGUUGCUCAAAGCACAGAUCCCCUCUUAUCCCUAUCUCCAGGAUCGAAACACAUAGCCUCAUUUCAAAGUGUAGCCAGGUUCCCUCUGCUUUCCUCUGGGAUAUGAAAAGGGGGCCAAGAGGACUUUGGAUCUCUCCUCCCAUACACACUACACUGGCCCUUCUCCCCCAUCAAACGCUCAGAGACGUUGUGAUGAUGCCACUGAGGAUUAUGCAGCGUGGUCCAACCGGAGCGGCCAGCAUGACCAGCUGACCAGGGGCUGCCUCCUGCCUUUUUUUUGUAAAGACAAGACCCUUGGGAGUUUUAAUUCUGUUUUGUACUUGCCCUGUGGGGCCUCCACUGCUUUUCUAUGGGAGACACUCUUAAUUUAACAGAUGAGAAUAUUUUGAAACUCUG
rnacentral:lncRNA from 1 species